AGCGAACGCUGGCGGCAGGCCUAACACAUGCAAGUCGAACGAACUCUUCGGAGUUAGUGGCGGACGGGUGAGUAACACGUGGGAACGUGCCUUUUGGUUCGGAAUAACUCAGGGAAACUUGUGCUAAUACCGAAUGUGCCCUUCGGGGGAAAGAUUUAUCGCCAUUAGAGCGGCCCGCGUCUGAUUAGCUAGUUGGUGAGGUAACGGCUCACCAAGGCGUCGAUCAGUAGCUGGUCUGAGAGGAUGACCAGCCACACUGGGACUGAGACACGGCCCAGACUCCUACGGGAGGCAGCAGUGGGGAAUCUUGCGCAAUGGGCGAAAGCCUGACGCAGCCAUGCCGCGUGAAUGAUGAAGGUCUUAGGAUUGUAAAAUUCUUUCACCGGGGACGAUAAUGACGGUACCCGGAGAAGAAGCCCCGGCUAACUUCGUG
rnacentral:rRNA from 1 species